UCAGUGCAGAAGUUGGAAGGCGUGAGAAGUGAGGAGAUGCAGGUAUUUGAUAGCUGCUGGGAGAAAGGGAAUCGGUUUCCUUUAACAACCUGAAACAUGGCGAUCUGACCACAAACCAUGGCAGGCCGCACUCCUAAGGAUCACUGGGAAACAAAAAUUGGAAUCGAUGAUGAAGAAAGCAAAAACAGGAAGCAUGGCAGCGUGAAGGCAGACAUGGUACCAGAGAAGAAGUUGAGUGUUCUAUAUCCACCUGGAAGGAUGAGCCACUGGACCUGGCUUGGACUUCUGCAACCUUAAAGCAUACUCUCAUUGAUAUAUUUUCUCCAACAAGGACACACCUAUACCAACAAGCCAGAACCUCUGAAAACUCUGAAUAAAACUACUUCCUGAUAACUUAAAUUCAAA